rnacentral:rRNA from 1 species
GACGAACGCUGGCGGCGUGCCUAAUACAUGCAAGUCGAGCGGAUGAAAGAGGAGCUUGCUCCUCCUGAUUCAGCGGCGGACGGGUGAGUAACACGUGGGCAACCUGCCCUGUAGAUUGGGAUAACUCCGGGAAACCGGGGCUAAUACCGAAUAAUCCUUCGGACCUCAUGGUCCGAUGUUGAAAGACGGCAUCUCGCUGUCACUGCAGGAGGGGCCCGCGGCGCAUUAGCUAGUUGGUGAGGUAACGGCUCACCAAGGCGACGAUGCGUAGCCGACCUGAGAGGGUGAUCGGCCACACUGGGACUGAGACACGGCCCAGACUCCUACGGGAGGCAGCAGUAGGGAAUCUUCCACAAUGGACGAAAGUCUGAUGGAGCAACGCCGCGUGAGUGGAGAAGGUUCUCGGAUCGUAAAACUCUGUUGUGAGGGAAGAACAAGUACCGGAGUAACUGCCGGUGCCUUGACGGUACCUCAUUAGAAAGCCACGGCUAACUACGUGCCAGCAGCCGCAGUAAAAC